GACGUAGGGCGCGAGCGUUGUCCGGAUUUAUUGGGCGUAAAGAGCUUGUAGGUGGUUUGUCGCGUCUGCUGUGAAAUCCCCGAAGGCUCAACCUCGGGUCUGCAGUCGAUACGAGCAAAACUAGAGUGUUGCAGGGGAGACUGGAAUUCCUGGUGUAGCGGUGAAAUGCGCAGAUAUCAGGAGGAACACCGGUGGCGAAGGCGGGUCUCUGGGCAACAACUGACGCUGAGGAGCGAAAGCGUGGGGGAGCGAACAGG
rnacentral:rRNA from 1 species